UACGAAGGGUGCAAGCGUUAAUCGGAAUUACUGGGCGUAAAGCGUGCGUAGGCGGUUUCUUAAGUCUGCUGUGAAAGCCCUGGGCUCAACCUGGGAAUGGCGGUGGAUACUGAGAAGCUGGAGUACGGUAGAGGAAGGUGGAAUUCCCGGUGUAGCGGUGAAAUGCGUAGAGAUCGGGAGGAACAUCAGUGGCGAAGGCGGCUCACUGGCCCGAUACUGACGCUGAGGCACGAAAGCGUGGGGAGCAAACAGG
rnacentral:rRNA from 1 species